UACAGAGGUCUCAAGCGUUGUUCGGAUUCAUUGGGCGUAAAGGGUGCGUAGGUGGCGCUGUAAGUCAGGUGUGAAAUUUCGGAGCUUAACUCCGAAACUGCAUUUGAUACUGCGGUGCUUGAGGACUGGAGAGGAGACUGGAAUUCACGGUGUGGCAGUGAAAUGCGUAGAGAUCGUGAGGAAGACCAGUGGCGAAGGCGGGUCUCUGGACAGUUCCUGACACUGAGGCACGAAGGCCAGGGGAGCAAACGGG
rnacentral:rRNA from 1 species